UCGGCAUAAAUAGAUCUGGAAGAACGGCUUCUCUUAGAGAAGCGGUUGCUGCCCACUUGGACACAUCCCAAGUCCCUUGUCCUGAAAGUGCCUGGGAAUUCUAGAUGUCUGUAAACAGGUUGUGUGACCAGGGAGAGUCACUGAAGAUGGUGCUGGGAAAUUUAAGAUGGCAGAUGGUUGCAGGGAAGCCAGUACAUGGGCCCAAGGGUGCUGUUCAGUGGGUCUCGGUCCCACCGUCUGCUGGCAGGAUCACCAGAGAGAAUUGUGAUUUCUUCCUCCGGGCUCCAGGGCAUGAAAUCUGUGAAAAAGCUGGUUUUAAAAUUGAUGGAGCCCUCAGAGAAGACGCAGCUCCUGUUGUUCCUCCUUACCCCAGUGGCAAACGGCAGUCCCCUGCGGUCCUAAUCACCUCUCACAGACACAUGCUGAUUGUACUUCGGUUAGCUGUUUAUAGCUCAGGCUUGCUUUUCUGUUUUGCUUUUCCAUUCUCUCACACCAGGGAGACUUGAGCUAGAGGCAGGAGGCAAGGCGUAGGCUUCAGGGUGUCCCAGAGAGUGAGGAAGAGAGAGAGAGAGAGAGAAGGAGGAAGAGGAGGAGGAGGAAAAAACAAGGGCAAAGGCGAAGGAGAAGAAGGCAAGAGAGAACAGUGGUGGCGAUGGAACAGGAGGCAGCCCCCUUAUGUGAGAAUCAGGACUGCGGUGGCAGGCUGAGUAACAGGGACUCAGGUCUGUGCUGCCCCUGCCUCCAGAGAGAGCCUGACCGAGCGUACCAGCGGUGAGUGGCAGGGAAGCUUGGUUUAGGCUAUGGCAACAGCCUCCCGGGUUGACUUUCCAUUGCUCCUAUUCUCUCUCCCUCUAGUACCUCCACCUUGAGUAGCCACCAGAGUAGCCAGGGAAAGGCCGAUCAGACUCUGCCAGUCCCCUGCAUCAUGCCCUUCGCUGGCUCCCCACGUCUGCAAGAUGAAGUCCAGACUCUUUAGCAGGAAUCAGGUUGGUCUCCUGGAGGUACCUGUCACUUCCCUCUCCCAUUUGUAUUUUUUACACCAGCUCCAUCAGACAACUUGUAGAUCCUUGUAUGUGUCUGGUCCCUGUUGGGGAGGCCGAGCUGGCCUCGCCCUUUGGGGAACCACAGCGCAUGGUGGAAGGAGGGGCAUCUCUCAUUCAUAGCUGCACAUCAUAGAAUGGAUCAUGUUCAAAAGAGUCCAGAAGAUCAAGGUCAGGGAAGUAUGUCCAUAGCGUGUUAUUGGGGUCAGGGGCCCAGAGGUCAGACACAGGAGCAGAAGUCCUGAACCAAGGGGAUCCAAGACCCAGAGGGCACAAGCUGGAGAGAGGAGCUGUUUUUACCGCUGCCAGAGCUGGCGACUGUCCUGCACUUCUGAGUCAUGCUGCUGCUCUAAUAGAAUAAAAGCCUUGUGGGAACAAGAACAUGGGGCCCAGGACCUGCCCAAAGGUGAAGUGCAGCCAGAAAAUUUCUUGAGGACUUUUCUGUAUUUAAUAGCCUCUUUGGAAUCAGCCAUGCAUUUCCCUCCACUGAGAUGGGCCAGUUCUGGCCAGCCCUUGCAUGCCAUCCUGAUGGAACCUUACUUUGGGGACUGGCUGCUGGCACCCCUGAGCUGGCUUCUGUUCUCCUGGCUCCAUCAGCAAGCUCAGUCCCAGCUUCCCCUUUCACUGCCCUUUGCCUGCCACUGCCCAGCCUCUGUUUAUUAUGUCCUCAGCAGUGCUGUGGAUCUAGUCACUUAAUGUAGUUGAUAUUAUUUACAUGUCCCAUGGAAGAUGCCAAGCUGACGUCGCCAGCAAAUCUCAUGUCCCUGCUCCCCAGCUGGCCGAGGUAGAGGGGCCUUUGGAAGGCAGGUGACCUGAGCUCUACCUCUCGGAAAGGGGCUGUUGAAACUCCUUUACUCUUGGAACUUGCAUUUGAAACCUGUUUGGCUGAGUGUCUCCCUUUCCCCCAUCCUCUGUGGGCUGAAAUCUGUGUCAGUCUUCUUGGGUUGCGUAUGCAAUAUGACCUCUAGUGAAAUCAAACAUCUGGGCGAUUAGCUAUAGACCUGUUUCUAAUUGGACUAAUUGGAACAGAUUGGUGGAGCUGCAGAGAGACCUGUUUCUCCUCUCUGGGCUCUUGGCGCCAAACAGAAGAAGCAACCAAUCAGUAAUUAAGGCAAUUUAAGGCCCAUUUUGCUUGCUAGCCAAAUCUCCACUCUUCCCCCAAUCCCCCACCAUUUAUUUCAUAAUGUGAUUUUCAUGAAUCACGUCCAUGUGUCUUGUUUUGGAAAACACGAGUAAUGGCUGUAAACAUA